rnacentral:lncRNA from 1 species
AAUAGAUAAGUGAAAAUCCCAAAAGACAAACAACAGUAACGAAUGAUGAAAAAAUUAGAUGUCUAAAUAAUGCAUUAAAGAUGUAAUUGUUGUCUAUAUGGCAAAGUAAUAUGCGCUAGAGGGAGGACGUGAAUGGUGAUUUAAAAUUUAUCGAGUCUAUAGCCAAAGCGAUUUUUGAAAACAAUUGAUGACGUAUUGGAUUUAUGCUUGAUUAAACGGCAAUGAAAAAAUUAUUAAGACUAUGUUCAAAUGAUAAGAUUCACUAGAAAUUGAGAGAUUCAAAGUCAAAUCUUAACACAAUCUAUUAUUUUUAAAUUUCACACAAGUUACAAAAUAAGGCAAAUCUCAAACGAAAUCUAAUGGCAAUUAAUCAAUUAUACUAAUGAACACAAUUGUGUAUGUGUGAUAAAUUGACAAUAGAUUGAAACCAAGUGUGAUCUAUUACAAGUGAGGUAAAAAAACUAAUUCAAGUUUAACAAAAUAAACCUAGAUCACACUCAGUUUCUACUCUAACAAUUUAUCAAGCAAUCAAAUACACAAUCAAUCAAAGUUAAAGAGGAUAAGGAAGAGAAACGACACCGAGAUUUAUAGUAGUUCAACCUUUCGUCCUCGCUUCGAGCUACGUCUAUUCUUGAUGGAAAACGUCUCCACCAAGGACUUCCACUAGAAUAUGAAUGUUUGAUUACAAUGUGAUUACAAGAAUUCCUUGAAACUACCCUGAUUCUUCAAUUCCUAUGCAAUCACUCCCCCAAUCUUCGAAUAACAUUUGAAAUUGGUGCUUCUUAAUGUCUUCGAAUCCUCAAUCAUCCGUGCAACCCUUGAAGCUCUUCACUCGAACUCUUUGAUGCUCCGUCCGACAAUUGGAUCCCCUUGAACACGAAAACUUUAGAAAGAACCCCCAAUACCCUUGGAGGUGGAAUGAAAUUACUCAAUUCACUUUAGAUCCUUGAUUUCCUAUCAAUAUCCUAGAAAGCAAUCAACUUCCAAUCUAAAUAGCACUCUGGCAAUUUAUGACUCAAAGGAACACACUGAUUCUUAGAAAAAAUGUUUAAUGUGAACAAUGAGGGUUGGAGACUCUAGAGGGAAUAGAUGCAAAUGAUUCAGUAGUUUAGGUGUUAUGAGGAAGUGGGUAUGUAUAGAAAAGGGUGAUAAGUGCAAUAUUUCGGCCAAAAACAACAAAAUGAAUCGAUUCACUUAAUGUGUGAAUCGAUUCAGAUAGCAAAAAGACAAGCAAGAUGUACUACAAAUAUUGAUAUGUAUUAAACCAAAUUUGAAUCAAU